UUAAAAAGACUCGUAGUUGGAUUUCGGUUAAGAGCGACCGGUCCGCCGUUUGGUGUGCACUGGUUGGUUUUAACUUCCUGUAGAGGACGUGCUCUGGGCUUAACGGUCUGGACUCGGAGUCUACGUGGUUACUUUGAAAAAAUUAGAGUGUUCAAAGCGGGCUUACGCUUGAAUAUAUUAGCAUGGAAUAACACUAUAGGACUCCUGUCCUAUCUCGUUGGUCUCGGGAUGGGAGUAAUGAUUAAGAGGAACAGUUGGGGGCAUUCGUAUUUCAUUGUCAGAGGUGAAAUUCUUGGAUUUAUGAAAGACGAACUUCUGCGAAAGCAUUUGCCAAGGAUGUUUUCAUUAAUCAAGAACGAAAGUUGGGGGCUCGAAGAUGAUUAGAUACCAUCCUAGUCUCAACCAUAAACGAUGCCGACUAGGGAUUGGUGGAUGUUAAUUG
rnacentral:rRNA from 1 species